rnacentral:tRNA from 1 species
CGCGGAGUAGAGCAGCCUGGUAGCUCAUCGGGCUCAUAACCCGGAAGUCAAUAGUUCAAAUCUAUUCUCCGCUA